rnacentral:tRNA from 1 species
CGGGGUAUAGCGAAGUCCGGUUAUCGUGCCUGCUUUGGGAGCAGGAGGCCCCAGGUUCGAAUCCUGGUACCCCGACCA